GGGUUGUGAGGUUAAGCGACUAAGCGUACACGGUGGAUGCCCUGGCAGUCAGAGGCGAUGAAGGACGUGCUAAUCUGCGAUAAGCGUCGGUAAGGUGAUAUGAACCGUUAUAACCGGCGAUUUCCGAAUGGGGAAACCCAGUGUGAUUCGUCACACUAUCAUUAACUGAAUCCAUAGGUUAAUGAGGCGAACCGGGGGAACUGAAACAUCUAAGUACCCCGAGGAAAAGAAAUCAACCGAGAUUCCCCCAGUAGCGGCGAGCGAACGGGGAGGAGCCCAGAGCCUGAAUCAGUGUGUGUGUUAGUGGAAGCGUCUGGAAAGGCGCGCGAUACAGGGUGACAGCCCCGUACACAAAAAUGCACAUGCUGUGAGCUCGAUGAGUAGGGCGGGACACGUGGUAUCCUGUCUGAAUAUGGGGGGACCAUCCUCCAAGGCUAAAUACUCCUGACUGACCGAUAGUGAACCAGUACCGUGAGGGAAAGGCGAAAAGAACCCCGGCGAGGGGAGUGAAAAAGAACCUGAAACCGUGUACGUACAAGCAGUGGGAGCACGCUUAGGCGUGUGACUGCGUACCUUUUGUAUAAUGGGUCAGCGACUUAUAUUCUGUAGCAAGGUUAACCGAAUAGGGGAGCCGAAGGGAAACCGAGUCUUAACUGGGCGUUAAGUUGCAGGGUAUAGACCCGAAACCCGGUGAUCUAGCCAUGGGCAGGUUGAAGGUUGGGUAACACUAACUGGAGGACCGAACCGACUAAUGUUGAAAAAUUAGCGGAUGACUUGUGGCUGGGGGUGAAAGGCCAAUCAAACCGGGAGAUAGCUGGUUCUCCCCGAAAGCUAUUUAGGUAGCGCCUCGUGAAUUCAUCUCCGGGGGUAGAGCACUGUUUCGGCAAGGGGGUCAUCCCGACUUACCAACCCGAUGCAAACUGCGAAUACCGGAGAAUGUUAUCACGGGAGACACACGGCGGGUGCUAACGUCCGUCGUGAAGAGGGAAACAACCCAGACCGCCAGCUAAGGUCCCAAAGUCAUGGUUAAGUGGGAAACGAUGUGGGAAGGCCCAGACAGCCAGGAUGUUGGCUUAGAAGCAGCCAUCAUUUAAAGAAAGCGUAAUAGCUCACUGGUCGAGUCGGCCUGCGCGGAAGAUGUAACGGGGCUAAACCAUGCACCGAAGCUGCGGCAGCGACGCUUAUGCGUUGUUGGGUAGGGGAGCGUUCUGUAAGCCUGUGAAGGUGUGCUGUGAGGCAUGCUGGAGGUAUCAGAAGUGCGAAUGCUGACAUAAGUAACGAUAAAGCGGGUGAAAAGCCCGCUCGCCGGAAGACCAAGGGUUCCUGUCCAACGUUAAUCGGGGCAGGGUGAGUCGACCCCUAAGGCGAGGCCGAAAGGCGUAGUCGAUGGGAAACAGGUUAAUAUUCCUGUACUUGGUGUUACUGCGAAGGGGGGACGGAGAAGGCUAUGUUGGCCGGGCGACGGUUGUCCCGGUUUAAGCGUGUAGGCUGGUUUUCCAGGCAAAUCCGGAAAAUCAAGGCUGAGGCGUGAUGACGAGGCACUACGGUGCUGAAGCAACAAAUGCCCUGCUUCCAGGAAAAGCCUCUAAGCAUCAGGUAACAUCAAAUCGUACCCCAAACCGACACAGGUGGUCAGGUAGAGAAUACCAAGGCGCUUGAGAGAACUCGGGUGAAGGAACUAGGCAAAAUGGUGCCGUAACUUCGGGAGAAGGCACGCUGAUAUGUAGGUGAAGUCCCUCGCGGAUGGAGCUGAAAUCAGUCGAAGAUACCAGCUGGCUGCAACUGUUUAUUAAAAACACAGCACUGUGCAAACACGAAAGUGGACGUAUACGGUGUGACGCCUGCCCGGUGCCGGAAGGUUAAUUGAUGGGGUCAGCGCAAGCGAAGCUCUUGAUCGAAGCCCCGGUAAACGGCGGCCGUAACUAUAACGGUCCUAAGGUAGCGAAAUUCCUUGUCGGGUAAGUUCCGACCUGCACGAAUGGCGUAAUGAUGGCCAGGCUGUCUCCACCCGAGACUCAGUGAAAUUGAACUCGCUGUGAAGAUGCAGUGUACCCGCGGCAAGACGGAAAGACCCCGUGAACCUUUACUAUAGCUUGACACUGAACAUUGAGCCUUGAUGUGUAGGAUAGGUGGGAGGCUUAGAAGUGUGGACGCCAGUCUGCAUGGAGCCGACCUUGAAAUACCACCCUUUAAUGUUUGAUGUUCUAACGUUGACCCGUAAUCCGGGUUGCGGACAGUGUCUGGUGGGUAGUUUGACUGGGGCGGUCUCCUCCUAAAGAGUAACGGAGGAGCACGAAGGUUGGCUAAUCCUGGUCGGACAUCAGGAGGUUAGUGCAAUGGCAUAAGCCAGCUUGACUGCGAGCGUGACGGCGCGAGCAGGUGCGAAAGCAGGUCAUAGUGAUCCGGUGGUUCUGAAUGGAAGGGCCAUCGCUCAACGGAUAAAAGGUACUCCGGGGAUAACAGGCUGAUACCGCCCAAGAGUUCAUAUCGACGGCGGUGUUUGGCACCUCGAUGUCGGCUCAUCACAUCCUGGGGCUGAAGUAGGUCCCAAGGGUAUGGCUGUUCGCCAUUUAAAGUGGUACGCGAGCUGGGUUUAGAACGUCGUGAGACAGUUCGGUCCCUAUCUGCCGUGGGCGCUGGAGAACUGAGGGGGGCUGCUCCUAGUACGAGAGGACCGGAGUGGACGCAUCACUGGUGUUCGGGUUGUCAUGCCAAUGGCACUGCCCGGUAGCUAAAUGCGGAAGAGAUAAGUGCUGAAAGCAUCUAAGCACGAAACUUGCCCCGAGAUGAGUUCUCCCUGACUCCUUGAGAGUCCUGAAGGAACGUUGAAGACGACGACGUUGAUAGGCCGGGUGUGUAAGCGCAGCGAUGCGUUGAGCUAACCGGUACUAAUGAACCGUGAGGCUUAACCUUACAACGCCGAAGCUGUU
rnacentral:rRNA from 1 species